UACUGGGAGUUAAAGAGCAAAUGCUUUAGUUCCGGGUACCUGUCUGGAAGAUAAGAAGAACUACGUUCCCCAAGAGCCUUUUCGAGUACUGUUUUCAUUCCUGCUCAAGGGAACAGAUAUAAGGGCAUAGGUCAUCUGACUCACCCCUCUUCUUGUCUCGCCGUGUUCCCUGUCGGAUCGGCUCUCUACUGCUGCGCCCGACUGCACACAAGGCUUCAGUAUUAGCGGGCAACUGAUAUCAAUUGUGGUGCCUCCUGUGGUUGAUGAGGAAUACCAAUAACCAAAAAUCAUAAAACCAUGACAAUGGCAUAUCUAUGGAAGCAGAUCUCUGGAAAGAGAGAAGCAACUACAGAGGAUACCUCCUGACGGUGUCUUUCUCUUCCAUCAGUUAUCUAAACUCCUCUUUGAAACAGCUUAAAUAACUUUGGGCUAAAGUUAGGUGAGAUGAAUUACAUCCAAAGUACAUGUGUGUGCAUACAUGUCUUCUGCACAAAAAGCACUGCUGCUUCCUUGUGUAUAUAUGAUCAGUCUGUAUCCUUCAUGCUGGAGUAAAAAUAGUGGUGUCAGUCCUAAGAUAAGCAGCUGUUGGUGGAUGGAUUGAUUCUUGGCACCGGAAUUUAAGCAAAGAUGUGACAGACAUUAAUAAACACUUUGAUGGCCUGAAAGCAUGGUUUGAUGCUCCGGGUCAGACAGCAAGAGCUUAUUCUGAACCACAUUGGAAUGCCACUGAAAUCAAUAUUUGCUCAUGACUGGGAAUGCCAGAAUGGUAGUUUCAUUGAAAUAAUACAGUAACUUGCUAUUCUGUGGAUUUUUUUUAAUCCUGAUAUUUAUCCUGAAUAGGCAGGCUUGAAACUGAUGUGCGGAAAUCAGACCCUAUAGCCAGUAAUGGUAUAGAGCAGGCAUGUGUUUAUUUGUGACGCGUGUACACCCUGGUGCAAGGGGGAUCGUUCCACCUAACUUGCACACUGUCAGGAGAAAUCGUGCUAUAGAUAUAGGUCAAACAUAAUCAGUAGUUGACAGGAAUUUGGAUACAUAUUUAUUACAUUCCCGAGAGCCCAUUAGCAUGCAGUCCCUCCCCCCCUUGCGCGUGCGUAGUAGGUCGUGAUGAUGAAGGCUUGUAGUCUUCCUCGUGAAGGCUCAUAGUCUUCCUCACUGCAAACUUCUGACCCUGAAGGGGGGGGCAUCCCCUGAACUGGUUUCAACCUUCCCAUCCUGUCUCUAAGCCUCUCCAAAAAUUCACUUGAGGUUUCAUCUUUGCUGAACCUCAAAGGCUUUACUGAAGUUCUGAGAUUUGGGUAUUGUUUCCUUAAUUCCCACAAUUACAUCUCACAAAUCCCUGUAAAUCCUUUAUUCUCCGAUCACCUGGAUGUACAGUAUAUAAAUUCACCAAGCCACCAAUUUACUACUGGAGUUUUAACCCCUUGCCCACUUUGGAAGAAAAGCCCUCUGUACAUAUAAUCAAGCUUUCUACAACUACAACCAGCAUCCAUUGCCUGCCAUAUAUCAGUCAGGUUUUUAACCCAUUUGUGCCCAAAACAGGUACCAUUAUAUUUCACUUCACAAAUUUAUCUGUCAGCUACUGCCCCUUUCUUUGUACAAGCAAAAGUCUCAUUCUAAUGAGGAUCAAUACUAUUUAGGUCUUGAGGCUCUUCUCUCCAUUCAAAACACCAUGGGAUUUCCCCUAUACGAUCCCCUAGAUAUCUUAAUAAUCCAAUCCACAACAUACACGAUGGAUUCUGUCCAGCCUCUAUACUAAAAUGUAUUAAAACACUAAAUCUUUUUGGAGUUAAAGUUCCCCCUCAGAUGGGAUCAUCACUUGACUUGGUUAUCAGUAAGCAGAUAGUAUGGCUAAUAACAUUAUGUAAUUUUUCAAAUCAAUGCAUUAAUUUAAGAACCAAAUUACUUUCUAACCCCAUUUGUAUAGAAAAAUAGUACCAGAUCUAAAAUACCACAGAACAAGAAAGGUCACAGACAAACAAAAAAAAAGCGCUUAUCCAUCCAAAAAACCAGGACAAAAAAAAAAACCUACAGACAAACACACAGCCUCUGCUGCAGCCAGCCCUUAAAUGAGGCUUAGGGAGGGGUGGAACCUCCACCCCUUCUGGUACCACAGGUGAAUUGCUUUCACCGGUGCUCCCCGGGCUGGCUGUGUCCCUUCACCAGGUGCUGAAUCAUUGGUUCAGGCCGUGACUUAGCAAUUCCCAUACAUCCACGACUCUUGAAAUGCAAAGUAAUUCUACAUAGAAUUUUGGCCCUCAUAUUACUACCACAAAAAAAAAAAAAAAAAAAAAAAAGACUAAGUUAUACUUAA